rnacentral:rRNA from 1 species
GAGUGGCGGACGGGUGAGUAACGCGUGGGUAACCUGCCCUGUACAGGGGGAUAACAGUCAGAAAUGACUGCUAAUACCGCAUAAGCCCACGGCUCGGCAUCGAGCAGAGGGAAAAGGAGUGAUCCGCUUUGAGAUGGCCUCGCGUCCGAUUAGCUAGUUGGUGAGGUAACGGCCCACCAAGGCGACGAUCGGUAGCCGGACUGAGAGGUUGAACGGCCACAUUGGGACUGAGACACGGCCCAGACUCCUACGGGAGGCAGCAGUGGGGAAUAUUGCACAAUGGGGGAAACCCUGAUGCAGCGACGCCGCGUGGAGGAAGAAGGUCUUCGGAUUGUAAACUCCUGUUGUUGAGGAAGAUAAUGACGGUACUCAACAAGGAAGUGACGGCUAACUACGUGCCAGCAGCCGCGGUAAAACGUAGGUCACAAGCGUUGUCCGGAAUUACUGGGUGUAAAGGGAGCGCAGGCGGGAGAACAAGUUGGAAGUGAAAUCCAUGGGCUCAACCCAUGAACUGCUUUCAAAACUGUUUUUCUUGAGUAGUGCAGAGGUAGGCGGAAUUCCCGGUGUAGCGGUGGAAUGCGUAGAUAUCGGGAGGAACACCAGUGGCGAAGGCGGCCUACUGGGC